rnacentral:rRNA from 1 species
GACGAACGCUGGCUGCGGGCUUAACACAUGAAAGCCGAACGAGGCAGCAAAGAAUUGAAGCUUCGGUAGAAAUUCAUUUCGGAUUAGUGGCAGACGGGUUAUUAACCUGUGAGCAACCUACCUCUUACAAAGGGAUAGCCCCCGAAAACCGGGAUUAAUACCAUGUAACAUUGCGACGAAGCAUUUCGAUUCAAUCAAAGUUACGGCGGUUAGACAUGGGCUCGCGCCCCAUUAACUAGAUGGUGAGGUAACGGCCCACCAUCAUAACGAUGGGUAACCGGCAUGAGACGGUGACCGGUCAGACUAGAACUGCAGCACGGUCCAGACUCCUACGGGAGGCAGCAGUGGGGAAUAUUGCACAAUGGACGGAACUCACAUGCAGCGAAGCCACGUGAGUGAUGAAGGAAUUCUGAUCGUAAAACUCUGUUCUAAGGGAAGAAGAGGACUCUACCGCAAGAGAAAGCUCCGGCUAAAUACGUG